GACGAACGCUGGCGGCGUGCCUAACACAUGCAAGUCGAGCGGGGUUGAAGCGAGGGGUAACUCGGACUUCUACCUAGCGGCGGACGGGUGAGUAACGCGUGGGCAACCUGCCUCAAGGUUUGGGAUAACAGCUCGAAAGGGCUGCUAAUACCGGAUAUGCCUGUGGCCUCGCAUGGGGCUAUGAGCAAAGGGGAAACCCGCCUUGAGAUGGGCCCGCGUCCCAUCAGCUAGUUGGUGAGGUGAAGGCUCACCAAGGCGACGACGGGUAGCCGGCCUGAGAGGGUGACCGGCCACACUGGGACUGAGACACGGCCCAGACUCCUACGGGGGGCAGCAGUGGGGGAUCUUGCACAAUGGGCGAAAGCCUGAUGCAGCGACGCCGCGUGAGCGAAGAAGGCCUUCGGGUUGUAAAGCUCUGUCUGGAGGGACGAAGAAAGUGACGGUACCUCCGGAGGAAGCCACGGCUAACUACGUG
rnacentral:rRNA from 1 species